rnacentral:rRNA from 1 species
UAACAGGAUUAGAUACCCUGGUAGUCCACGCUGUAAACGGUGGGUACUAGGUGUGGGGUCCAUUCCACGGGUUCCGUGCCGUAGCUAACGCUUUAAGUACCCCGCCUGGGGAGUACGGCCGCAAGGCUAAAACUCAAAGGAAUUGACGGGGCCCCGCACAAGCGGCGGAGCAUGCGGAUUAAUUCGAUGCAACGCGUAGAACCUUACCUGGGUUUGACAUGGAUCGGGAGCGCUCAGAGAUGGGUGUGCCUCUUUUGGGGUCGGUUCACAGGUGGUGCAUGGCUGUCGUCAGCUCGUGUCGUGAGAUGUUGGGUUAAGUCCCGCAACGAGCGCAACCCUUGUUCACUGUUGCCAGCACGUUAUGGUGGGGACUCAGUGGAGACCGCCGGGGUCAACUCGGAGGAAGGUGGGGAUGACGUCAAGUCAUCAUGCCCCUUAUGUCCAGGGCUUCACGCAUGCUACAAUGGCUGGUACAGAGAGUGGCGAGCCUGUGAGGGUGAGCGAAUCUCGGAAAGCCGGUCUCAGUUCGGAUUGGGGUCUGCAACUCGACCUCAUGAAGUCGGAGUCGCUAGUAAUCGCAGAUCAGCAACGCUGCGGUGAAUACGUUCCCGGGGCUUGUACACACCGCCCGUCAAGUCAUGAAAGUUGGUAACACCCGAAGCCGGUGGCCUAACCGUUGUGGGGGAGCCGUCGAAGGUGGGACUGGUGAUUAGGACUAAGUCGUAACAAGGUAACCA